rnacentral:snoRNA from 1 species
AUUCCUCAUACCUUUGGCAUGGGUACGUUCUUCAAUAGCGUGACAUGAAUGCAAGUAUGAGGUACAUUAAAUACAGCUAUAUGCCCUUCCGGUUGUUUCAUGGCCAAAAAACACAAAANUGCCNUGAAAUCCCCNUCCCNCCAAAAUUGUUUNGGNUGGAACUUUUUUUUUU